rnacentral:rRNA from 1 species
UGGGGAAUUUUGGACAAUGGGCGAAAGCCUGAUCCAGCAAUGCCGCGUGUGUGAAGAAGGCCUUCGGGUUGUAAAGCACUUUUGUCCGGAAAGAAAUCCUUGGGCUCUAAUACAGUCGGGGGAUGACGGUACCGGAAGAAUAAGCACCGGCUAACUACGUGCCAGCAGCCGCGGUAAUACGUAGGGUGCAAGCGUUAAUCGGAAUUACUGGGCGUAAAGCGUGCGCAGGCGGUUUGCUAAGACCGAUGUGAAAUCCCCGGGCUCAACCUGGGAACUGCAUUGGUGACUGGCAGGCUAGAGUAUGGCAGAGGGGGGUAGAAUUCCACGUGUAGCAGUGAAAUGCGUAGAGAUGUGGAGGAAUACCGAUGGCGAAGGCAGCCCCCUGGGCCAAUACUGACGCUCAUGCACGAAAGCGUGGGGAGCAAACAGGAUUAGAUACCCUGGUAGUCCACGCCCUAAAACGAUGUCAACUAGUUGUUGGGGAUUC